rnacentral:lncRNA from 1 species
ACAGGAGGAAAGGAUGAGCAAGAACAUUUCGUCAUCAUGGACCCUUGCCUAGCAACUCAUGGAAAUAGAAUAAUUCCAAUAAAAAUGACCUCUUCAACACAAUUGAGCAUGAACUGUUGUAAGCCAGAAGAAAUGUCGGACCUCGUGGAGUUGGACUUACAGCAGUUGUGAGCUGCCUAAUGUGCAUGCUGGGAAUUAAUUUCGGCCCUCUGCAAGAGCAGAAUAUCCUGGUUCUUAAAAGACACUGAUGGCGGUGUUCCAGAGGAUACAUAACAUCAAUGCCAAUAAUGAUGGCGGUGUUACAGAGGACACAAGAUAUCUAUGGCUGACCCUGAUGGCGGUGUUCCAGCGACACAUGACGUCAAAGGGUCUAUGGUUCUUAUGACUGAUGAGAUGCACGAGGACGGACACGGAUUAUGUGAGGAGGAUGGACACGGAUCAUGUGAGGAGGAUGGACAAGGAUCACGUGAGGAGGAUGGACAAGGAUCAUGUGAGGAGGACGGACAAGGAUCAUGUGAGGAGGAUGGACAAGGAUCACGUGAGGAGGAUGGACAAGGUUCAUGUGAGAGACUUCAGAGCUGGGUGGUUGUCAGAAGGAUCCUGUCAUGUUUAGGAAAUGAGAGCAGAGAAGCCAAUGUACAUGAGUGUAUGUUUGUUCCAGGCAUUAAAUUAUUGGGAUGUUAUGCUAUGCUUCCUAAAAAUACUGUGAGGAAGGCAGAAUUUUGUGGAAAUGACUUCGAUCUGGAAGUCAGGCUGAUGCAGUUAAAAUCCUGGAGUGGUCAAUUACUAAUUUCUCAGUCUUUGGCAAACCACCAAAUGGCCAGUGGUCAUAGCUUUCUGGUUUCUAGAGAGAGAAAUAACUAUAUGCACAUCAUGUUGUAAGACUGAGAAUCUAUGCUUAAUAGAGUCUAUAGGGCUCACCAGGCAUGCAAUGAAGGUUAGCUCCCAUCCACAGAACCGCUCACAUC